rnacentral:rRNA from 1 species
ACGAAGGUCCCGAGCGUUGUUCGGAAUCACUGGGCGUAAAGGGAGCGUAGGCGGCGUGGUAAGUCAGACGUGAAAUCCCGGGGCUCAACCCCGGAACUGCGUCCGAUACUGCCAUGCUUUGAGGGUUGGAGAGGUAGCUGGAAUUCUUGGUGUAGCAGUGAAACGCGUGGAUAUCAAGAGGAACACUCGUGGCGAAAGCGAGCUACUGGACAACACCUGACGCUGAGGCUCGAAGGCCAGGGGAGCGAAAGGGA